CCCUUAGAUGUUCUGGGCCGCACGCGCGCUACACUGUUCGACGCAGCGAGUCUUAACCUUGACCGAAAGGUUUGGGUAAUCUUCAGCAAAGUCGAACGUGAUGGGGAUCGAUCAUUGCAAUUAUUGAUCGUGAACGAGGAAUUCCUAGUAAGUGCAAGUCAUCAGCUUGCGCUGAUUACGUCCCUGCCCUUUGUACACACCGCCCGUCGCUACUACCGAUUGAAUGGUUUAGUGAGAUCUCUGGAUUGACGCUGGCUAGGGGGCGACCCUUGGCCAGGCUGUCGAGAGACUGCUCAAACUUGAUCAUUUAGAGGAAGUAAAAGUCGUAACA
rnacentral:rRNA from 1 species